GAUAAACGCUGGCGGCGUGCCUAAUACAUGCAAGUCGAACGCUGGAGACCUGCUUCGGUAGGUUGAAGGAGUGGCGAACGGGCGAGUAAUACAUAAGCAACCUGCCCACGAAGACCGGGAUAAUCCCUGGAAACGGGGACUAAUACCGGAUAGGCAACGAGGAGGCAUCUUCUUGUUGUUAAAGAUUAAAAGCACUGGUGGAUGGGCUUAUGGCGCAUUAGCUGGUUGGUGAGGUAACGGCCCACCAAGGCGAUGAUGCGUAGCCGGCCUGAGAGGGUGAACGGCCACAUUGGGACUGAGACACGGCCCAGACUCCUACGGGAGGCAGCAGUAGGGAAUUUUCGGCAAUGGGGGAAACCCUGACCGAGCAACGCCGCGUGAGUGAAGACGGCCUUCGGGUUGUAAAGCUCUGUUGUAAGGGAAGAACGGUACGGAGAGAAUCUGUAAGUGACGGUACCUUACCAGAAAGCCACGGCUAACUACGUGCCAGCCGCCGCAGUAAUAC
rnacentral:rRNA from 1 species